AUGAUCACACUUUUCUUGUCUACUCUUUCUUCUUUAAAGAAAAACUCCUUUACAGGUGCGUUUGGGGUUGCAGGGACCCCAGCUCCAGCAACCUGUUUGCUCCCAGAAGUGACCCAGAACGCAGUUCCCUCAGGGACCGGCAAGCCCGCGAGCGCCGCAGGUACCCAAGGCCUGGACCCGGCGCCUCUUCCCUCCAGUCCCCCUGCAAGUCCCCCUCAGUUCUCGCCUCUCGUUACCCUUAGAGGUCUCCUCUCGUUUCUUUCCCAAGUUCACGCCUCAAGACCUUCCUUCACCCCUCAUGUCCACUCUUCCUGUUCCCUCCUCCUGUUUCCCUUCCGUUUCACGCCUCCGGUUCCCUCCUCAAAUUCAUUCCUCAGUUCCCUCCUCCAUAUCCCCCCUCACUAUUCCUCGCGUUCUCCCCUCGGGUUCACCCCCAAGAUCUUCCCUCAAGUCUACCCCUCACGUUCACCCUUCCCGUUCCCUCCUCCUGGGUCCCCCUCGAGUUCACCCCCGCCCCGCUCCAGUUUUCCCCUCAAGUUUAUUCUCUCCUCCCCUCAAGCUCUCCCAACAGCUCGUUCACCCCUCACGUUCCCUCUCCGGUUCCCCGCUCCACUUCUCCCCUCGAGUCCUUUCUCUCACCCCAGGUCCAAACACAGACACAGGUCCUCCGUGUCUGACCCGGGCGGGAAGGCGGUCGCGGCGGCCUCGCGCUCAGGGAGCCCCGGGCGCGCCCCUCAAGCCCACAGCGUCCGAGGAAGAGGGGCCGCCUCCAGCGCCGCGCGGGCCCCGCUCACCGCUGCCGCCCCUCGCCAGUCCCCGGUGCUGCCCGGACCCUACAGGAAGCCGGGCGCCUCCUUACUUCCUUCUGAGGGCACUGGCGACGGGCGCUCCCUAGAGGGGCGGGUAGGCAGGGGCAGCCGAGUCGGGGAGGAACUGGGCCGCCUGCCGGGGAUGGGCCGAAGGCCGGCGGGAGGAGCAGACCCGGGCCACCUGGGCCGAGGGCGCCUCUUAUCCCGGCUAGCGGAGAAUAUUCUUCCUCCCGCCGCGCUCGCCACCGUCCCCGGGUGA
rnacentral:lncRNA from 1 species